rnacentral:rRNA from 1 species
UAACAACUCUCAGCAACGGAUAUCUCGGCUCUUGCAUCGAUGAAGAACGCAGCGAAAUGCGAUAAAUGGUGUGAAUUGCAGAAUCCCGUGAACCAUCGAGUCUUUGAACGCAAGUUGCGCCCGAGGCCAUCAGGCCAAGGGCACGCCUGCCUGGGCAUCGCGA